rnacentral:rRNA from 1 species
AACGAACGCUGGCGGCAUGCCUAACACAUGCAAGUCGAACGCUUGGUUUGGGUUCGCCCGAGCCAAGAGUGGCGCACGGGUGAGUAGCGCGUGGGAACCUGUCCUGUUGUGGGGGAUAACCGCGGGAAACUGCGGCUAAUACCGCAUGAUCCCCGGGAGUGAUCUCGGGGCAAAGAUUUAUCGCGAUGGGAGGGGCCCGC